CAGUAAGGGACUGCCCAGGUGUGCCCUCUCCCUGUCAAAGGGCUGCUGCUAGAGACCUCACCUGCCAAUAGGCAUUCGCUGGCCGCGCCGCCCUGGGCAGUGACCUGGGGCUGCAGAGUGGCAUCUGGCAUGGGGACACGGCCAGGGGCAUGGGCUCACGGCCAGGACAGAGGAGGCCAGGACAGAGGAGGACAAGGCCUAAGGCAGGAACAGUCUGGGACAGGCCGAAGGCCCCACGGUGCCCCAGGGUACUAUAGCCACUAGCCACGUGUGGCUACUUAAAUUUCAGUUAGUUAGAAUUAAGCAUUCCGUUCCUCAGCCACAGGAGCCACAUUUCAGGGACUCAGUAGCUGCAUGUGGCUUAGCAGCUGCCACGCUGGAUAGCACAAAUAUAAAACACUUCCUCCGUCCCCCCAGAAAGUUCUGCAGCACAGUCGCAUGCUGAACUGUGUCCUCCCGUAAUUCAUAUGUUGAAGUCCUAACCCCCAGUACCUCAGCAUGUGACUGCAUUUGGAGGUGAGGUUUUUAAAAAGGUAAUGAAGUUAAAAUGAGGUCACAGGGGUGAUCCCUAAUCCGGUAUGACUGGCGUCCUCAUAAAAAGAGGAGAUGAGGACACAGACACACACAGAGGGCAGCCCAUGUGAAGACACAGGGCGAAGAUGGCAUCUACAAGCCAAGGAGAAAGGCCUCCGAGGGAACUCCCCCUGCCGACACCGUGAUCUCGCACUUCCAGCCACCAGAACCGAGAGCGUCAAUUCCUGUGGUGGAAGCCGCCCGGCCUAUGGUGCAGUGCUCUGGCAGCCCUAGGGAACUCAUGCAGGCACAAAGGGCUCCAGCCUCCCCACAGGGUUGGGACUUUUCUAUCAGUUAACUACAUGUGGAGUGAUACACAGAGGCAAAACCCUGGAGGAGUGUGCAAGGCGGAGGAGGGGCGGGGACGCACAGAGGAAUAAACAGUUCAUUCCUUCAUUCCGCGGGGGAGCCGGGUGACCUGAGCAGGGUUUGGGAUUGGAAUGGAGAGGCCAGAUAUGAAGGGAGUUUCCCAGGAAAACACAAAAACGGGGAGGCUACCCCUACCAGGUGAGCAGAGCGGGUGACGAGGGAUUUUGGUGAAGCCGGUAGCAAGGCGGGUGCGGGAGGCAGGGAGGUCAGCAGCGGCGCCAGGAUGCAGAGUAGCCUCCCGGCCCUGCUCUGAGGCAAGGACUUCAGUCCCGUGGGCACUGGAGCUGGCAAGGGGGUUUUGGAAAGCAGAGGAACUCAUGUAUCUGGGCAGAGAAUGAUCCAGGGGAGAGAAGACUAGAAAUAGGGAGGCCAUUAAAAUGCUGUUGCCGGCCGGGCGCGGUGGCUCACGCCUGUAAUCCCAGCACUUUGGGAGGCUGAGGCAGGCGGAUCACGAGGUCAGGAGAUCGAGACCAUCCUGGCUAACACGGUGAAACCACGUCUCUACUAAAAAUACAAAAAAUUAGCCUGGCGUGGUGGCGGGCGCUUGUAGUUCCAGCUACUCGGGAGGCUGAGGCAGGAGAAUCACUUGAACCCCGGAGACAGAGGUUGCAGUGAGCCGAGAUUGUGUCACUGCACUCCAGCCUGGGCAACAGAGCGAGACUCCGUCUCAAAAUAAUAAUAAUAAUAAUAAAUGCUGUUGCGUACACCUGUUAGGAGCUCAGGGGACAUCCAGGCCCCAGAACUCAUCAUUUUAGAGUCAAGGAGGCAAGGGCAUGAACGUGACGGUUAAGAAGCAGAAACCGUGGCUGGAGAGGAGGAAAUCUGCAAUUACCAGAAAGUACUGAGAUUGUCACAGACAAGAGGAGCCAAGGAGACAUGAUGACUAAACGUCACGUGGGUUCCUAGAUGGGAUCCCAGAACAGAAAAAGGACAUUAGGUAAAAGCUGAGGACAUCAGAAUUAAGUAUGGGGCUUUAGUUUAAUAAUAAUGCAUCAAUAUUGAUUCCCGGGUAGGAGGAGGGUGAGGAUUGAAGAACUACCUAUCGGGGAUUAUUGUGCUGAUUACUUGGGUGACAAAAGUAUCUAUCUGUACACCAAACCGCCAUGACAUGCAAUUUACCCAUGUAAAAAACCUGCACAUGUACCCCCUGGACCUAAAAUAAAAGUUGGAAAGAAAUAAGUAUAUUUUACUGGAAACAACAUUUGAGUCAUUCAGUGUGGCAAAUGUACCCUACUCAUGUAAGGGUUAAUAAUAGGGGGUUUUGGGUGUGGGGGACCUCAGUAUAACAUCUUUGCAACUUUUCUGUAGAUCUAAAACUACUCAAAAUAAAAAGUGUAUUUUAAAAAAA
rnacentral:antisense_RNA from 1 species